rnacentral:misc_RNA from 1 species
GAAAUGCGAUAAGUAAUGUGAAUUGCAGAAUUCAGUGAAUCAUCGAAUCUUUGAACGCACAUUGCGCCCCUUGGUAUUCCGAGGGGCAUGCCUGUUCGAGCGUCAUUACACCACUCAAGCUAUGCUUGGUAUUUGGUGCCGUCCUUAGUUGGGCGCGCCUUAAAGACCUCGGCGAGGCCUCACCGGCUUUAGGCGUAGUAGAAUUUAUUCGAACGUCUGUCAAAGGAGAGGACUUCUGCCGACUGAAACCUUUUAUUUUUCUAGGUUGACCUCGGAUCAGGUAGGGAUACCCGCUGAACUUAAGC